ensembl:snoRNA SNORD104 small nucleolar RNA, C/D box 104
GCCGUGAUGACAACUAUGAAAGCGUGUUAGACUACUGACUACCGUGAAGCGAAUCGGAAUCUGAGC